AAAAGGAAAGUUACUGUGCUGGGACCCAAUUUUAAUGUUUCACCCAGACACUGGGGAGUUCAAGUUUAUUAGUGAUCUUCUGUGGGGGAAGAUAGGAGGAAGGAUUAGGGACUGACUUCUCCCUCUGCUGCUUCUAGAUUAUUUCACCUAUCUGCUAAAUGGUAUCCCGCUGAAGUCAUUGGCAAAAUCCCCGUUUCAGUGGCAGCUGGCACUUCCCCUUUUCAGUGCUGUUACAUGUUACUACUGGACACAAACGGGUGACAUUUCCUGUGUGGGAUUUCAGAUACCUUGGGUAAUUCUGCUGCUUUUGUCUCCAAAGGGAGAAGAGGAACGGUUCACCUUCCUUAUGCAAAACCCAGAGGACAAAAGGGCUGAGAUACCUGCCAGUUUAAAGGAGUUGCUAGUGCACUGACAGAACAGCAGGAGACACAGUGAGUUUAUGGUACAAAUCUGGACUUGGAAACAGUACUGUCUGGGUAAAAAAGGGCUUUGGGACCACAGACCAUGCCAUUUGCUUGGAACCACAGGGGUGCAGAGGUGAGAGAUGUCAGUCUUCAUCUUAGCCUUAGACAGGUGCAACAAAAGCACGCCACAGCGGCCUUGUCCCCCACACAGACAAUGCUGGGCCAUAACUCUUCUUGCAGGCAGCAGAAAGAUGUUAUGCCCUCAAGAAAAACAAACCUCUGAGCUUUAAGGCCUGGGCACUAUGUCAGCAACAGGUAAGCAAGUCAGCACAGAUCAUAUCUGAUCCAGGGGGAGAACAGGGCCUCUUUGGACACUUGCCAGCUCUUACUGCUCACAAGUGAGGGCUGGGUUGCUUGUUCUCUCUGACAAGGAUGAGGAAGGCAUUAGGGAAAUGAACCUGCCUGCCCAGUGCUCCAGAUUACAGAGUCUGCCUGGUUCACAUAACCCUCCCUCCUAGGGAGGCAUUCAGUCUGCCACACCUGAGUACCACCAAUUAGCUGUUUCUGUUCUAGGUAAACAGCUGGGGGACAGCCAUGCCCCAGGCCAGCUGGAUAUACUGGGGAUACUCUCUCCUUCCAUUGCCCACCUUGCCUUUGGAAGUCCUCAGAAUACAGUUUCGUAUCAAUACAGAAAGCAGAGCUUUCUCUCCCCUCCUUCCCCAGCUGCAGCAUCUAGCUGGAUACGAUACUGAUCCUGCUUUGGUCUCAGCAGAGGUUUGUGGAACAGGGAGGAGGAGGAGCAGAGAAGCAGGAAGGCAGAGAGCAGAUUGGGGGGGUACCAGCACAGGGAAAAGCAAAAGCACC